GACCGGCGCACGGGUGAGUAACGCGUAUGCAACCUACCUAUCAGAGGGGGAUAGCCCAUCGAAAGAUGGAUUAAUACCGCAUAAAACAGGGGUCCCGCAUGGGAAUAUUUGUUAAAGAGAUUCGCUGAUAGAUGGGCAUGCGUUCCAUUAGUUAGUUGGUGUAGGUAACGGCUCACCAAGACAUCGAUGGAUAGGGGUUCUGAGAGGAAGGUCCCCCACACUGGUACUGAGACACGGACCAG
rnacentral:rRNA from 1 species